UAACGAAUAUUCCGCAAUGGGCGAAAGCCUGACGGAGCGACGCCGUCGUGGAGGAAGAAGGCCCUCGGGUUGUAAACUCCUUUUAGGGUGACGAAACAAGCGCGACCCAACACGUCGCGCCUUGAUCGAUCCCAGAAAAAGCCACGGCUAACUCUGUGCCAGCAGCCGCGGUAAUACAGAGGUGGCAAGCGUUGUUCGGAUUCAUUGGGCUUAAAGCGCAUGUAGGCGGCUACGCAAGUACUUGGUGAAAUCCCUACGGCUUAACCGAGGAACGGCCUGGUAUACUGCGUGGCUUGAGGCGGGUAGGGGUGCCUGGAACUCUAGGUGGAGCGGUGAAAUGCGUAGAUAUCUAGGGGAACGCCUGUGGCGAAAGCGUGGCACUGGGCCUGACCUGACGCUGAGAUGCGAAAGCGUAGGGAGCGAACGGGAUUAGAUACCCCGGUAGUCUACGCCGUAAACGAUGCGCACUAGG
rnacentral:rRNA from 1 species